UUGGANUGGGGGCACCCUGAUCCAGCGACGCCGCGUGGAGGACGAAGGUCUUCGGAUUGUAAACUCCUUUUGAAGGGGAUGAAUGCCUGCGUGAAAAACGCAGGGUGACAGUACCCUUUGAAUAAGCCACGGCUAACUACGUGCCAGCAGCCGCGGUAAUACGUAGGUGGCAAGCGUUACUCGGAAUCACUAGGCGUAAAGCGCAGGUAGGCGGCUCGGUAAGUCUUUUGUGAAAGCUCCCGGCUUAACUGGGAGAGGUCAAGGGAAACUACCGGGCUCGAGUGUGGCAGAGGAAGCUGGAAUUCCCGGUGUAGCGGUGAAAUGCGUAGAUAUCGGGAGGAAUACCUAUGGCGAAAGCAGGCUUCUGGGCCAUCACUGACGCUGAUCUGCGAAAGCUAGGGGAGCAAACAGGAUUAGAUACCCUGGUAGUCCUAGCCCUAAACGAUGCUCAUUAGGUGUGGGAGGUAUCGACCCCUUCUGCGCCGAAGCUAACGCAUUAAAUGAGCCGCCUGGGGAGUACGGCCGCAAGGUUGAAACUCAAAAAAAUUGACGGA
rnacentral:rRNA from 1 species